GGCAGGGUAGCCUAGUGGUUAGAGUGUAGAGGUGGCAGGGUAGCCUAGUGGUUAGAGUGUAGAGGUGGCAGGGUAGCCUAGUGGUUAGAGUGUAGAGGUGGCAGGUAGUCUAGUGGUUCGAGUGUAGAGGUGGCAGGGUAGCCUAGUGGUUAGAGUGUAGAGGUGGCAGGUAGCCUAGUGAUUAGAGUGUAGAGGUGGCAGGGUAGCCUAGUGGUUAGAGUGUAGAGGCGGCAGGGUAGCCUAGUGAUUAGAGUGUAGAGGCGGCAGGGUAGCCUAGUGGUUAGAGUGUAGAGGUGGCAGGUAGCCUAGUGGUUAGAGUGUAGAUGUGGCAGAUAGCCUAGUGGUUAGAGUGUAGAGGUGGCAGGUAGCCUAGGGGUUAGAGAGUAGAGGCGGCAGGUAGCCUAGUGGUUAGAGUGUUGGACUAGU
ensembl:lncRNA